UACAGAGGGGGCAAGCGUUGCUCGGAAUCAUUGGGCGUAAAGGGCAGGUAGGUGGUCUGAUUUGUCUGGAGGUGAAAUCCUGGGGCUUAACCCCAGAAGUGCCCCGGAAACGGUCAGACUCAUGAGUCUUGGAGAGGGUGGCGGAAUUCCCGGUGUAGCGGUGAAAUGCGUAGAGAUCGGGAGGAACACCAGAGGCGAAGGCGGUUCUCUGGGCCUUACCUGACGCUGAGGAGCGAAAGCAUGGGGAGCGAACGGG
rnacentral:rRNA from 1 species